UCGCCUGUUUAUCAAAAACAUCGCCUCUUGCUAAACCAAAAGUAUAAGAGGUCCCGCCUGCCCUGUGACUAUAUGUUUAACGGCCGCGGUAUUUUGACCGUGCGAAGGUAGCGCAAUCACUUGUCUUUUAAAUAGGGACCUGUAUGAAUGGCAUAACGAGGGCUUGACUGUCUCCUCUUUCAAGUCAAUGAAAUUGAUCUCCCCGUGCAGAAGCGGGGAUAAAUACAUAAGACGAGAAGACCCUAUGGAGCUUUAGACACUAAAGCAGAUCAGCAUUAAUACCCCACACACGGGAUUCGAAUAAACUGACCCCUGCCCUAAUGUCUUCGGUUGGGGCGACCGCGGAGAAAUAUAAAACCCCCGCAAGGACUGAAUGUACCACAUUCACAACCAAGAGUGACAGCUCUAAUUAACAGAAUUUCUGACCAAUAAGAUCCGGCAAUGCCGAUCAAUGGACCAAGUUACCCUAGGGAUAACAGCGCAAUCUCCUCUUAGAGCCCAUAUCGACGAGGAGGUUUACGACCUCGAUGUUGGAUCAGGACAUCCUAAUGGUGCAGCCGCUAUUAAGGGUUCGUUUGUUCAACGAUUAAAGUCCUACGUGAUCUGAGUUCAGACCGGA
rnacentral:rRNA from 1 species